UACAGAGGUCCCAAGCGUUGUUCGGAUUCACUGGGCGUAAAGGGUGCGUCGGCGGUGAGGUAAGUCGGAUGUGAAAUCUCCGAGCUCAACUCGGAAACUGCAUUGGAAACUACCUUGCUCGAGGGUUGGAGGGGGGACUGGAAUGCUUGGUGUAGCAGUGAAAUGCGUAGAUAUCAAGCGGAACACCAGUGGCGAAGGCGAGUCCCUGGACAACUCCUGACACUGAUGCACGAAAGCUAGGGGAGCAAACAGG
rnacentral:rRNA from 1 species